rnacentral:rRNA from 1 species
UACAGAGGGGGCAAGCGUUGUUCGGAAUUACUGGGCGUAAAGGGCGCGUAGGCGGCCGCCUAAGUCAGACGUGAAAUCCCUCGGCUCAACCGGGGAACUGCGUCUGAUACUGGUUGGCUUGAAUCCGGGAGAGGGAUGCGGAAUUCCAGGUGUAGCGGUGAAAUGCGUAGAUAUCUGGAGGAACACCGGUGGCGAAGGCGGCAUCCUGGACCGGCAUUGACGCUGAGGCGCGAAAGCCAGGGGAGCAAACGGG